AGUGAACGCUGGCGGUAGGCCUAACACAUGCAAGUCGAGCGGCAGCACAGUAAGAGCUUGCUCUUACGGGUGGCGAGUGGCGGACGGGUGAGGAAUACAUCGGAAUCUACUUUUUCGUGGGGGAUAACGUAGGGAAACUUACGCUAAUACCGCAUACGACCUACGGGUGAAAGCAGGGGAUCUUCGGACCUUGCGCGAUUGAAUGAGCCGAUGUCGGAUUAGCUAGUUGGCGGGGUAAGGGCCCACCAAGGCGACGAUCCGUAGCUGGUCUGAGAGGAUGAUCAGCCACACUGGAACUGAGACACGGUCCAGACUCCUACGGGAGGCAGCAGUGGGGAAUAUUGGACAAUGGGCGCAAGCCUGAUCCAGCCAUACCGCGUGGGUGAAGAAGGACUUCGGGUUGUAAAGCCCUUUUGUUGGGAAAGAAAAGCAGCAGGUUAAUACCCCGCUGUUCUGACGGUACCCAAAGAAUAAGCACCGGCUAACUUCGUG
rnacentral:rRNA from 1 species